UCGCCAGGGCGGGUGCCCCGGCUGCCACCAUCCCGCCCGCUGCCCCGGGGACGGGUCCCCCGUUUCACCCGGGGCGGGCGGUGGGGUCCCCGGGCUGCCCCCUCGGCUCCCCGACCCCUCUCCCUCUGCCCAGCUGGCUCCUGAGGCUGACGGUGCCCGCUCCCCGCUGGGGAUAAACCGUCCCCGGUGGGAACAGCUCCCUCAGCCCCAGGGCUCCUUGGGGGGCGCGGCUGGAGCCGGCUGGCCCGUAGCAAGGGCAGCCCCCCGGACUUGGGGGGCCGUGACCACAGCCCCUUCCAGCCCCCCUCAGCUUCGGCGUUCUCCCCGUCCACCUCAAGUUGGGACCGGCUGAUCUUUCGGCUUGAAGAUGCGAAUUCACUGUGGGGAUUCGCUUUACAGAAUAUAGCUGUGCUGCAUCCCUGUGGUCAUCUGGCAAGUACUGCAUUUGCACUGAUCCUGAUGGCCUUCAGCUGCUGGGCCAGAUUAAGGUGAAUGUGGGAGCAAACUGAGUCUUGCAACACCUGGCCUCUGCAGAUAACCCCACCCAGCUUGACUUCAGGCCAAGUCACCGCACAAACAACCUCUCUUGUAUUGACAGAUGACCUCAUGAGAAUGAGCAGAUAAGACAAAGUGAUGUUGAUGCUGCUUGAUCUGUAAGCCAUGUUCGAUGUUGUCAGCCAGGGCAGUCAGGAAUGCUGAUGUGACCACAAGCCCCUGGAGAAUUUUUUUGAAGGCUGGCUAUCAUCACGCCCCGUCACGACACUGGCUGCUCCCUCGGGGCUUCAUCCCCCAGCCAGCUCUUGCCAGGCAGACUCCUUGCCCCAGCGGGGAAGCCCACUGCUCUGAGUUUUCUGCAGGCCUUUCUGCAUACCAGAGUCUGUAACUGCAACAAUAAAUGUAAAAUAUUAUCACUCACUGAAUGUAGAUGUAUUUUUGUCACAAGCAGUUGCAGUAAGAAGACACCGCAGGAAUACCAACGGCAGUUUAUCAGUGUAACUGCCUCUGUUGGUGGCACUGUUCUGCUCGAAGUGCACCAGUAAAACACAUCCUAAACUUGUCCUGUCACGUGAGAAAAAUAUAUUGGAAGGGCCAGACUAAAAAUUACUUCAAAGGUGAAUUGACUCUGUUUGUAACCCGUCACUUCACACGGGUGAGGGACCUGCAGUAGGGUCGUGGAGACAGAACCCACAGUUCUUUGUCAGGUGGAUUGUGCCUUACCUGGCAAUCACAUCUGAAUGAGAGUAACAUGGUAUCAGGAGCUGAUCCAUAGUAACUGGGGAAAAAAUACAUUUUAUUUACAAGAAGCAUAUUCCCCAGGAUAGAAUUGCAUUCUACUUGUCUGUCCCACUUGCAAACAGGUAACAAGAUAUCUGGUCCUCGGAUCUAUUCCCAUUGAUCCUACUAAUGCUUCUGUUCAUUUUGGCUAGUUCUUGGUUGUUCGAGGUGAACUCUGAGGAUCUCCUAGUAUCAAUGAAACAGAUGUGCCAUUUUAACACUAAGCAAAACAAAACGUCACCAUGGUCAGAGAGUUUCAGUUUUCAUCUGUACUUCAGGGCUUUUUGCUUGGUUUCACCCUAUUAGUGAAGCCUGCAGGCCACUUCACUCUUCGAGCAGAUCCUUUUUGUAUAAUGGUAAGCUAACAAAACUAGAUACACCAUUAAAGGUGACAUACAAGGCAUAAAUGUCUGUCAGUUACCCAGUUUAUCAAAAUCACUUAAAAUUCCAAUUCUGUUCUUCAGUGCUGACAACCAACUUGAUAGCAUCAGCAAAUUUUGCAUUUGGACUCCUGGUUUUCAAGGCAUUAGUACAGUACACACCGCAUUGCAAAUCUUGUGAUACGUCUUUGCAUUUUAUGGCAGACUGUUAAUAACUACGCUGCAUACAAACAAUAAUAUAUCAAAUUUGUUUUCUUACUGGAAACGGGAAGUGGGAAAAGCUUUUCUUCAGUCAGAAAUGCAUCAGAUCCACUGGUUCCUGCUUUUAAUGUAUGGCCACUUCUUUGGA